AGAGUUUGAUCCUGGCUCAGGAUGAACGCUAGCUACAGGCUUAACACAUGCAAGUCGAGGGGAAACGAUAGGGAAAGCUUGCUUUCCUUAGGCGUCGACCGGCGCACGGGUGAGUAACGCGUAUCCAACCUGCCCAUGUCUGGGGAAUAACCCGUCGAAAGGCGGACUAACUCCCCAUGGUCUCCGAUGAGGACAUCCGAAUUGGAGUAAAGCUUCGCGGACAUGGAUGGGGAUGCGCCUGAUUAGGUAGUAGGCGGGGUAACGGCCCACCUAGCCUACGAUCAGUAGGGGUUCUGAGAGGAAGGUCCCCCACAUUGGAACUGAGACACGGUCCAAACUCCUACGGGAGGCAGCAGUGAGGAAUAUUGGUCAAUGGACGAGAGUCUGAACCAGCCAAGUAGCGUGCAGGAUGACGGCCCUAUGGGUUGUAAACUGCUUUUAUAAGGGAAUAAAGUGAGUCUCGUGAGACUUUUUGCAUGUACCUUAUGAAUAAGGACCGGCUAAUUCCGUGCCAGCAGCCGCGGUAAUACGGAAGGUCCGGGCGUUAUCCGGAUUUAUUGGGUUUAAAGGGAGCGUAGGCCGUGAGGUAAGCGUGUUGUGAAAUGUAGGCGCCCAACGUCUGCACUGCAGCGCGAACUGCCCCACUUGAGUGCGCGCAACGCCGGCGGAACUCGUCGUGUAGCGGUGAAAUGCUUAGAUAUGACGAAGAACCCCGAUUGCGAAGGCAGCUGGCGGGAGCGUAACUGACGCUGAAGCUCGAAAGCGCGGGUAUCGAACAGGAUUAGAUACCCUGGUAGUCCGCGCGGUAAACGAUGGAUGCCCGCUGUGGCGCGCCUGGCGUGCCGCGGCUAAGCGAAAGCAUUAAGCAUCCCACCUGGGGAGUACGC
rnacentral:rRNA from 1 species